rnacentral:rRNA from 1 species
AGCGAACGCUGGCGGCAGGCUUAACACAUGCAAGUCGAGCGGGCGUAGCAAUACGUCAGCGGCAGACGGGUGAGUAACGCGUGGGAACGUACCUUUUGGUUCGGAACAACACAGGGAAACUUGUGCUAAUACCGGAGAAGCCCUUACGGGGAAAGAUUUAUCGCCGAAAGAUCGGCCCGCGUCUGAUUAGCUAGUUGGUGAGGUAACGGCACACCAAGGCGACGAUCAGUAGCUGGUCUGAGAGGCUGAUCAGCCACAUUGGGACUAAGACACGGCCCAAACUCCUACGCGAGGCAGCAGUGGGGAAUAUUGGACAAUGGGGGCAACCCUGAUCCAGCCAUGCCGCGUGAGUGAUGAAGGCCCUAGGGUUGUAAAGCUCUUUUGUGCGGGAAGAUAAUGACGGUACCGCAAGAAUAAGCCCCGGCUAACUUCGUG